rnacentral:rRNA from 1 species
UGGGGAAUAUUGGACAAUGGGGGCAACCCUGAUCCAGCAAUACCGCGUGUGUGAAGAAGGCCUUCGGGUUGUAAAGCACUUUAGGUUGGGAAGAAGAUAUGUAGUUUAAGAGAUGACAUAUUUGACUGUACCAGCAGAAUAAGCACCGGCUAACUCUGUGCCAGCAGCCGCGGUAAUACAGAGGGUGCAAGCGUUAAUCGGAGUUACUGGGCGUAAAGGGCGCGUAGGCGGUUGUGUAAGUUGGAUGUGAAAUCCCUGGGCUUAACCUAGGAACUGCAUCCAAAACUGUAUAGCUAGAGUAUUGUAGAGGGUAGUGGAAUUUCCGGUGUAGCGGUGAAAUGCGUAGAGAUCGGAAGGAACACCAGUGGCGAAGGCGGCUACCUGGACAAAUACUGACGCUGAGGCGCGAGAGCGUGGGGAGCAAACAG